rnacentral:rRNA from 1 species
UACGAAGGGUGCAAGCGUUACUCGGAAUUACUGGGCGUAAAGCGUGCGUAGGUGGUUUGUUAAGUCCGAUGUGAAAGCCCUGGGCUCAACCUGGGAACUGCGCUUGAAACUACGGAACUCGAGUAUGGCAGAGGAAGGUGGAAUUCCACGUGUAGCGGUGAAAUGCGUAGAGAUCAGGAGGAACACCCGUGGCGAAGGCGGCUCCCUGGUCCGUUACUGACGCUGAGACGCGAAAGCGCGGGGAGCGAACGGG